rnacentral:rRNA from 1 species
UACGUAGGGGACAAGCGUUGUCCGGAAUCAUUGGGCGUAAAGAGCGUGUAGGCGGCCCGGUAAGUCCGCUGUGAAAGUCCAGGGCUCAACCCUGGGAUGCCGGUGGAUACUGUCGGGCUCGAGUCCGGAAGAGGAGUGUGGAAUUCCUGGUGUAGCGGUGAAAUGCGCAGAUAUCAGGAGGAACACCAAUGGCGAAGGCAGCACUCUGGGACGUGACUGACGGCUGAGACGCGAAAGCGUGGGGAGCAAACAGGG